ACUACGUCGAGCAGCAGCAGAGGCUUUCUUCUGGGCUGUUUUGUGGGCCCCACCUCAACACAGAGGCUGGUAUUUCUUGGGUCUCUUGUUCAUCUGCUUUGGGCAGAGGUGACUGCAGGCCUUUGGUGACUUUGGAAAUGCUGCAGCAAUGAAGGCUCUGAGACCUGGAUACCCGAUGGCACUAGACUCAGUGCCCUGCACAGAGCUCCUGCCCAGCGCGAUGAAGAAUGAAGUGGACACUGUGGCCAUCUGCACGUGGUAGCUCGGGGAGGGGAAAGGAGUCCAGUGUCCACCAUCACUCAGCUGCUCUCUUUCCCGCUGGUGCCUGCUACCCUCCUGUCUCCUCUCUGCCCUGCGGACUCCUCCCUCCCUAGCUGGGAGGGGACAGAUGGUCCAGGUGUCAUUUCCUCCAGAGCUUGGACAGAGCCGGGCCCUCCCUGCCCCCAGGAGGCUGCCCUUCUGUUAUUGUUAAACAUUCGGCAGACUCACCACUCCGUGCAGGGCAUGAGGCCGCAUCCUGGAUUAAGAAAACAAGCUCUUGGAGGGGAGAGACCUUCCUUAUUUCCUGUGCAUCCCUCAUAAGCAAAGUGACAAGCAGGUCACAAGCAAGUGGCCCAGCUCGAUUCGUGUUUGGAGUGUCUACUUGGGGGCGAGACUCGUAGCCAUCUGCAGCCACACAGGCCUCACACAAGGCCUCAUUCUAUCCUUACGGCAACUGGGGGAAAAGUUCAGGAAAAGCUUUCAAGUACCAUCAGGCCUGUUUCCCAGAAGAGGAAAUGGAUGCUGAUAGCAGCUAAUUUACCUGCCAAAAGCACAUAAUAGGAGGCACGGUCAGGACUUUAACCCUGAGCUUUUGACUCCAGGCCCUAGAUUCUAUAAACUCUUUAGGAAGCGUACUCCCUGGCCAAGUGCAGUGUUUCACUGGCUUGGGAACUUAACACGCGUAGGCAAAAGGGUCACAGUGAGCACACCUGCAUGCAGGAGGGACGGAAGGAAGAAGGUCAGCAUCACCCGGGGCUGUGACCCUCCUGCAGGCCAUGUGUCUCCCUUGUGCCCCAGUGACCACGAGGGCCCUCUCGUCUCUGCUGCGGAAUCCCUGCCAGCAGGCAACAGGUCUAUGGGCUGUGUAUUUUUUUUUUUUUUUUUGAGACAGAGUCUGGUUUGGUCGCUGAGGCUAGAGUGCAGUGGCACAAUCUUGGCUCACUGCAACCUCCGCCUCCUGGGUUCAAGCGAUUCUCCUACCUCAGCCUCCCGAGGAGCUGAGACUACAGGCGUGAGCCACCACGCCCAGCUAAUUUUUGUAUUUUUAGUACAGACAAAGUUUUACUACAUUGGCCAGGCUGCUCUCGAACUCCUUACCUCGUGAUCUGCCCACCUUGGCCUCCCAAAGUGCUGGGAUUACAGGCAUGAGCCACCGUGCCCGGCCUGGGCUGUGUGUUCACCAUUGAGAGAGGCUGCUGAGAUCCCAAAUAGGCCCUGCUGAGACCACACCUGGCAGGGACAGAGAUAAACAGGAUUAAACGCAGCACAAGAAAAAGGUGGAAUGGGCGGAGGAGGGAGAGGCUGGCUGCCAGCACAGAAGCCCCAGUCGAUCCGUGUGUGGUGUAUGAGUCCUGUGUGCAGCCUGUGUGUGUUUAUGGAUGGUGUAUGCGUGUGUGUGAUGUGUAUUUAUGGGUGGUCAGCGUGUGUCUGUGGUGUGGUCUGUGUGUCUGGUGUGUAGCUCCAGUGUGUGUUUGUGUGUGCUUGUGUGCACAUGUGUGUUGUUGUCAUGCAGUGCAUGGGUGUUAUGUGCAUGCUUAUGUGUGGUGUGUAUCUGGUGUGUGAUGUGUUGUGUGUAGUUAUAUAUGGUCUGUGUGUCUGGUGUAUGUGGGUGCUUCUGGACGCGUGUGCAAGUGUGUGCUGUGUAUGCUUUGUGCUGUGUGUGUCAGCAGUGUGUGGGUGUCAGUGUGGCCAGGAGAGUUGGUUGUGGGGACAGCUGCUUUGUCACCAAUUCACAACUACCCAGGGUGCAGAGAUUUAAAAGCUGAAGCUUUAAGAGCUCCACGUCCCUGAGAGCCAUGGGGGACUUUCUGUGAAACAGCCCACCUGGCUCCCUCCUCCAGGCUGUGCCCUGAGGGAGCAUCAGGCUGCGCUCCUGAGUCUGCACCCCUGCUGGGUCCCCGCCUUGGGGAGUGGAUCUAGGGGGUCACUCUGUAGGGAAACUGAGUGACAAGUAGGGGC
rnacentral:lncRNA from 1 species